rnacentral:lncRNA from 1 species
UAAAGGUCUCGUUUAGUAUUAUUGCAGUUUUUUUUUUUUUUGAAAAUGCUCAAAUGUAUUUGAAAUGACUUAAAAGAUAAUUUAGGGAUUGCUUGGUUGUAGAAGUUAUAAUUGCACCGCAGUUGUAACUGCAUGCAGCACUGAAUCCGGUAUUUGUUUUAAUGCAUUUGAAUUCAACUACUAUAAUUACAACUGCAAUAGUUAGAACUACACCAACACCCAAAUUGUACAUAGUUUCGACUACCGCACUUGUGGAUAGUAAUUCUAAAGAAAGGUAAUCUUACCUUCCUACUAAUUUUUUAAUAAUUUUUUUUUUCUUUCCUACGUAGAGGAUAAUCUCACUUAGGGAUGUCAAUGCAUGCAGAUAUCCAAAAUUUUAUCCGAAUUCGAAUCUAAACAGAGCGGAUUUACUCGAUGCUAAACGAACAUGAUUUCGUAUAUGAAUAUCAAAAAUAUAAACCCGGUGGAUAUAGAUUUUGACUGUACCCGACCCGAACCCGAACACGAACUUGAUCCGAACCCUACCCGAAUCCGAACUUAUUUUACAUUAUGGGCAUAUUUGGUUCGCUUCUUUUUCACCCUGGAAUUGGAAUUGGAGUAGGUGAAACCGUUUGUGGGCGUUUGGUAUGCGGAAGUCCCAUUCCGAUUCAGAUUUCCGAGUGGAAUGAUUAUCCCCCAAUCACCUCUUUUUCCAAUCCGGUCCAGAAGGCCGGAUUGGAAGUUGAAUUCGGACGGAAUAGAUAUUUGUUCGGAUUAAAUUUAUUUUUUCAACUUUUUUAAUUAAAAUAUGAGUUUAAAUUUAGAAAUUAAAUUUAUAAUUUUAAAUUUUAAUUUGAACUUGAAUUAAAAAUUAAAAUUUAAUCAAGUAUUUCGAAUUUAACUUAUAAAUUUGAAUUUACAUUAAAUUUUAAUUUAUAUAAAGUUUUAUUCAAAUUUUAUUUAAAACUUAAAUUAAAUUUA